GCGCCCCUGGUUGGUAUACUCGAUAUUUUCUGUUUUUUACUCUUUAAUUGAUUGAGUGUUCAAUAAAAUUUGAUUCUUUAUGUGAGGUUUACUAUUGUGAUAAGAUGUAACAUUAGUAGAAAGCCAUUUUUACGCGCAGAAGUGCUAGGUUCUUAAAAAAUCGCAAUAUUUAGACAAAAAACAGCACCCAGCAAUAAUAAAAUGCUAUGCGGUUGGCUCUGUAAUGGUGGCGUCUAUGACGUUAUAGACGCGGGGACAAUGGAUAACAAGACUCGUUGUUUUCCAAUCCGUUUCCUAACUUGGUCUAUACUAACUUUGGUAAUUACCGUACUCGCACAUUAUGCGCAGAGCAUGGAUACACAAUGUCCGUGUGCGCGCUUACUACAUACGCAGUUAAUGUUUAAUUUUAAACUUUUUUAACAAAGUCAAUGUUUCGUCUUAUGCACUACCCAGUCUGCACCCAAAUCGUUUAUAAAGAAACACUCGCUUUUUCCCUCUAAAAAUACGCAUGCCAGCUCUAGAUUGUCGAUAAAGAAACACUCUCUUUUUCUCUAUAAACUGCAUGCGUGUCUGCUCGCGAUACGUAUAAAGAAGCAUUAGUUUUACGAUGAAAUUUCUAAAGUGUGAAAAACAAUUAAUCAAAAAAAAAAUUAAAUUAUAGUAAACACCACAAUAGCGGUUGUGACGUAUUGAAAGAUCGUCAAACUUGCAGGUGCUGGCUUGCGCAACAUCCUAUGAUCUUUGUUUCUAUCACAAUGAUAAUUGUAACAUCAAGGUGGAAUUACGCAAUACGGAAGUCCCGAUAAUGGGUGGCAUCACAAUUCCGCUUGUGACGUAAUGUAUCACCGCAAGUUGGUAUUUCUUAACAUCUGACCUUACGGUAAUGGAUUGCAUCACAAUGCUGCUUGUGAUGUGAUAGUUCCGUUGCUUAGCGCGCACUAAUGACGUUAUAAAGAAGAAAGGCUUAUAAAAAUGCCGUUAAGUCGAAAUGGUGCUAAUCAAAAUCAUACAGAACACAAAUUCAACACAUUGUGUUAAAGUCAUAGGCGCCGUAUGGUGCAGACGAGGCCGGCCUACUCUGUAUUAUACAGACGGUACAGCACCUGCUCCGUAUAGCUGCAAUUUAUUAUUAAAACCCAUUUAAAAUUAAACAGAACUAGUGGUUUUAGGGCCACAAAUACUUAAAGAACUAUAUAUUCCAACGUACUCAGUUAUUAUGCCCUCGAUUGGGGUACCAGUGAUCACUAUCCGUAAUGUUUUUCUCAACUACGCAUAAUGCUUUGUUUCGACAUAGUAGCGAGUUUUAUACUUAAAACAGCUUGCUAUGAGUAUAUGGCUAGCGUCUUUGCAAAUACAAGUUCCUGCGGUUAUGCAACAACUGUAUUAGAAUAAAACAAAUAACACAUACAUUGGUCUGCAUUAAACACAUAAAAGCUUCAACUGAACGGUUUAAUAUUUUUGCGUGGCUGAUGUCCUUGGGUUCAAUCUACUACUUUAACAGCCAUCUGCAGACGUAGGUGCUUACUACAUAUUUUGGAACAAACUUUAGCUGCUAGUAUAAUUAAUAUGUUAUCGAAAGUAACGGUUGACAGGCAAAGCCUAUAUUGCGAAUUGCUUAAAAACGAACUACAAACAGUUUAAAGACAUUAAAAACCCCACAAACACUAGGUUUGUAUAAAAUUAGGACCUAUGUGAUAAUCAACAGCAUUGAUGGUUCUCGAGGUAUCAUUAUUGUUCAUAUGUGUAGCGUACAAACAACGUCCUUCAAAGAACGGCGAACGAGUUAGACUGCCCGAUUUUGCCAGUUUUAUAACCGCAUGAACGAUAGGCAGCAGUUUUAUUUUCCUAAUUUCUGCAAAAGGAAUGACGUCAUCAUAAUCGUGGCCUCUUUUGCAAUUUAAAAAAAUCGGCGCCUAUGGUUAAAGUUGUACUAAGUUUCACGUUUUGUUAUAAUACAAGUGACGAAGUGAGUUACACCUCACCCUAGUAACUAUUUAGAGCAAUUUUUAACUCUGUAUUGUGAUUAAACAUAUGUGGCAUUGUGACAUUUGUGUUUUUCAUUUACCAUAAUAACCAAUUGUACAAAUCCAAUGUAUGCACUGGUUUGGUUUGUAGUUUUUAUUAACAUAUAUUGAUAAGGUAACUGAAAGAAGGUAGUUAGUUACCCCUAAAAAGGAAAAUUUGAUAUAUCUUAAUCUAAUCACACUUUUAUUAAUGUAUUUUACAUUUUUUUAAAUGGCGAAUGAAAAUUGCUUUGUUGGUAACAGAAGAUAUAAGCUAAAACAUGACAAGAAACUGAUUAAUUUAGCAUAGCAAAUAAACUAUAUUUAAAGCCAUUGCCAUAAAGUUAAUAGUGUACCGACUUAGGAAAGAACUUUCUUAAGUUCGCGUAAGCAACCCUGAAAAACCUUCUCACAGAUUUGCACUUAUACAGUAUAACACCACACAAGCCACACAUUAGGAGGAUACGUUUCCAUAUAUGCAAUUCGUUCAAAUUAAUUUAACCUAAAACAACUUUACAGAACGAAACUAUUUGUGUUUUAAACUUUAAAGUUUACUAUUCUUUAUCGCCAAGAUUUACCACAAAAUUCAGCUGACCUCCACGAUGAACCCCACAUUCUUCCAAUGACCCCUCAACCAAAACGUUAUGUUUCUUACGAACAUCGAGAUCACAAACUAACACAGAUUUUUAAUAAGCGUUUUCGACACAUUUUAAACAAGAGACUAAGAGAGUAUACUGAUAAUAAAAGGGCAACUAGGAUUUCAGUUUGAAAUUUAUACUGAGACCAAUGUAUAUAUAACUACACUGUUUAGACCAAAGAUAGAUCUCUAUAAAUGAAAAGUUUAAGUUUGACCAAUAGAUAUGGUUGACCAAUGUGGCAGAUUCGUCACGUUCGAUUGCGUAGAUCCGACCGCUGAGAAAGCGUAUAUAAUGCCACAGAUACCUUAUCUACGUAAGGCAUAGUUUAAUCAUAGUACUCUAAACAGUACUCUGUUUAAUCAUAGUACUCUGUUUUAGAGUACUAUGGUUUAAUAAUACAACUUCUUUAUUUAACUAUGGGUAAGGUAUUUAUAAUGCUCUAGCGUCGGUGUCUAUGUACAAAUAUAAUUCCAUCAUAGAUAUCUAAACAUAUGUUUGUAUAUUUAUGAUGCCAUCGGUAACAGUUUCUUUUAGUUUAUAUAUUAUCUAUGCAUUCUAUGGUUUAUAAUUUGAUCAUGGUUCCAAGAAACUGAAGCAUACCAAAUUGUAAGUAUCUUAAAAAAAGGGAAGUAAAACGAAGUUCAUUUGCCAUUAAUCAUCUGGAAUUAGCUAAAAAUAAAAAAGAGAUUGACUUCCAAUUCCAUCCAGAUUGAACAUCCCAGCUCGUAUUGUGCUCGUUCCGGCCUACAGCGUAUGCGCGGUAGCGCCCCAUCAAAGUUGAGUAAAUGUUUACUUAUCGGAAAUCCCAAGCAUUGAGCCACGGCCUUUUUUACUCCAGCGGUUGAAUGCGCGGUUUUGAAACCUAUUUUUUUCAAAAGCUUUUUUAAAAACUUUUAUGGGACCUUUAGAUAACAUUUAAACAAAUCUAUCAGUACACAAGUUUAUUUUUUGGUACGCUCUUUAAAUGCUACGUUAAAUCUACCGUGCUGUUAUCAAUGCAAAGAUUUGUUCAUCGGAUAACCAGCGUUUACACAUUAAUCUAUAAUGCUUCAUAAGCUGGAUGACGUAAGGAUGAAAGGUUUUUGUAAGUUUUUUUUUCAGCGUUUCAUUCAAGUUAUCUAUUACUAUACAUAAAAGUGCUCUUUAGUUUUGUGAAUAGUACUUGAAAGUAACUACUAUACUUUAGCUGUUGGGUAGACCACGUUUUAACGUGGAGCGCUACUAUGUAUGUAGUUGACUGAAUAUAUUUGUCAAACUACCGUGUUUGUUCUAGAUUUGUUUGAUGAAGCCAGGUAGGCUAUAAUUUGAGACAGUCGUAUUUGUAAGCAUUGGUACCGUUAGCAACGUUGAGGCAAAGCAGAUGAACAAAAAAUAGCGAUAUUAUUGUAUUACAUAAAAGUAUCUACAAGUUAUAUCUGCAUUACAAAUAGGUUUUAUUCAAUGAUAGCUUAAAUAUUUGUUGUUUAUUUAACAUAAUGAAACGCACUUCGUUUUUGUUGCCGGAAGAUUAGUUUAAUGUACACUGUAUAUGUUGUUUUGGAUGUUUUAGAUCACAUAAUUGUUAGCAAGAAUUAAACAUGGCAUUUGUCACCAUAUUAUACGGAGGUGAGUUUUCAAAGUUCAACAGAAAAUCGUUCACAACUGUUUAAUCCGGAUUGCCUCAUGCACCUGUUCCUAAAAGACGUGAAAGUAAGAUGCAACUGCCCAGCUAAAAUACAAAUCGACUUGUGUGAUGAAGUAGGACUUUUAAAGAAUCUAAACAGCACGUCUGCGAAGUUUGCCAAUGAGAUAUUAAACAAAGAAAGAGAGAAACUUGUCCUUCUACAAGUAGAACAUGGGUCAACAGAAAAUAUUAGUGAUGGUUUACAUACAAACCUGGUCUAUAAACCAUUGCUUGUAAAUGACAACAUUGUAACUCAAAGAUUCAAAGCCCGGUUAAGUCGCCGUGACAACUCACCUCAAAAAUCAGAAGAAAAAUAUCACAGCACAAGAGAUAAAAGCAAAAAAAAUGAAGUACACCCAGAGGAUAACCACGUUGAUACCACACCAAUGAGCGGAAAAUAUAGAAAUAAGAAAAAUUCUUCAAGGUGUAGGUCACGUAGUAAAAAAUAAGUGAAUCGAAAAAAAUAAAUAAACGAGGCAUAUUUGUAACCAUGCAAACCAAUAUACAUGAAGGAAGCUUUUUGGUGUCUUCAAAGCUAUAGUGCUGUGGAGUUAGAUGGGAUUCAACAAUCUUUUAGAAUCGUGAGGCUAGGGCUUAUAUAA